rnacentral:rRNA from 1 species
UACAGAGGUCCCAAGCGUUGUUCGGAUUCACUGGGCGUAAAGCGCACGUAGGCGGAUUGUUAAGUCAGGGGUGAAAUCCUGGAGCUCAACUCCAGAACUGCCUUUGAUACUGGCGAUCUCGAGUCCGGGAGAGGUGAGUGGAACUGCGAGUGUAGAGGUGAAAUUCGUAGAUAUUCGCAAGAACACCAGUGGCGAAGGCGGCUCACUGGCCCGGUACUGACGCUGAGGUGCGAAAGCGUGGGGAGCAAACAGG